AAAUAAGUGGAUGGAGAAGCAUAUAGGAGUCCACACUGGCCAACAGCAGGAAAUGGGAAGUGGGUGCUAGAGGAUGCUACUUUACGGAACAAGGACACAGCAGGAAAGGGCUACACCUGGUUUUCAAAGCCUCACACCAUCGAAAGACCGGACAGGCAUCUGAUGUCAAUUUGUAUGAGGUUUGCAAGAAGUUCGGACUAACCCAGUGCUGUUUUCGUGAGGAGGUUGAGGGUGGGACUGAAAGGCUCUUGGUUAGGAGAUCACCUAGUCCCCCAGCUGAAGAGUAGCAAUGAUAUAUAAACAGUGUGAAGCUGUGUUCGCGCGCCAGCUCCACACCUGCAUUCUCACCUUGCUUCAUCUAUUUCUGCUUCUCUGCCUCCUCUUCUGCUACUCAUUCAGAAAACAACUGAGUUUAAUACAUUUGGUGAAAAGAAUGAGAUGUCCCUGACCAAAGGAAGCUAUGACAUCUCCUUGCAUGACAGCUCAGUGGCCCUUGGAAGGCUAUAAGG
rnacentral:lncRNA from 1 species